rnacentral:rRNA from 1 species
GACGAACGCUGGCGGCGUGCUUAACACAUGCAAGUCGAACGGAAAGGCCCUGCUUUUGUGGGGUGCUCGAGUGGCGAACGGGUGAGUAACACGUGAGUAACCUGCCCUUGACUUUGGGAUAACUUCAGGAAACUGGGGCUAAUACCGGAUAGGAGCUCCUGCUGCAUGGUGGGGGUUGGAAAGUUUCGGCGGUUGGGGAUGGACUCGCGGCUUAUCAGCUUGUUGGUGGGGUAGUGGCUGACCAAGGCUUUGACGGGUAGCCGGCCUGGGAGGGUGACCGGCCACAUUGGGACUGCGAUACGGACCAGACUCCUACGGGAGGCAGCAGUGGGGAAUAUUGCACAAUGGGCGGAAGCCUGAUGCAGCAACGCCGCGUGCGGGAUGACGGCCUUCGGGUUGUAAACCGCUUUCGCCUGUGACGAAGCGUGAGUGACGGUAAUGGGUAAAGAAGCACCGGCUAACUACGUG